rnacentral:lncRNA from 1 species
GUGGGUGGGAGCACGAUAAAGCGAUCAGGAUAGCAUGCAAAAGGGAUCUGACAAUUAGGAAUGGUCAUGAACUUCGAUCAGGACUGUGUCUUCGAUCUAGAGAGGGUUUGGCCCUAUAAAGAGGGCUGAUGACUAUGGAGAGGAGUGCAGCUCAGUGCAACAACAGAUCUUAAGGUGAUCGAGGGCAUCUCAGGGAGAUAGAGAGCGCACAGCGAAGCUUCUUAGGGAGAACAAGGGUGGGUUAUUAAAGAGGCAUCUCAGAAAGACAGAGACUACACAGCAGCAGGUCUCAGGGGGAUCAAGGGUAUCUCGGGAG